rnacentral:lncRNA from 1 species
GUCCCUUAUUCCUAAUAUGACUUUGGAAUCCUAUACAUGUAAGUGAUGCAUGCAUAAGUCACCCUGUCUUUCAAUUGUAAUACAUUCUAUUUUAUCUCAUUUCAAUUUAGCCUAAACAAAAUCAUGUCAAUUUCUAGCCUAUUUUUGAACAUUAUGAGAUCAUUUGAUAAUUUUUAAAUCAUAUUUAAAAUUGAGAAUGGCAGUAGGGAAUGUG